AGCUCUAAUAGCGUAUAUUUAAGUUGUUGCAGUUAAAAGCUCGUAGUUGGAUUUUGGGUCGGAGCGACCGGUCCGCCGUUCCGGUGUGCACUGGUGGCUUCUUCCUUCUUGCCGGGGACUGCGUCUGGCAUUCGUUUGCUGGGCGUAGGAGUCGGCGUGGUUACUUUGAGUAAAUUAGAGUGUUCAAAGCAAGCUUGUGCUCUGCAUACUUUAGCAUGGAAUAACAUUAUAGGACUCUGGUUCUAUUUUGUUGGUUUUCGGAACCGGAGUAAUGAUUAAUAGGGACAGUCGGGGGCAUCCGUAUUUCAUUGUCAGAGGUGAAAUUCUUGGAUUUAUGAAAGACGAACUUCUGCGAAAGCAUUUGCCAAGGAUGUUUUCAUUAAUCAAGAACGAAGUAG
rnacentral:rRNA from 1 species